rnacentral:rRNA from 1 species
GACGAACGCUGGCGGCGUGCCUAAUACAUGCAAGUCGAACGCUGAAGGAGGAGCUUGCUUCUCUGGAUGAGUUGCGAACGGGUGAGUAACGCGUAGGUAACCUGCCUGGUAGCGGAGGAUAACUAUUGGAAACGAUAGCUAAUACCGCAUAAUAGCAGUUAUUGCAUGAUAACUGUUUGAAAGGUGCAAUUGCACCACUACCAGAUGGACCUGCGUUGUAUUAGCUAGUUGGUGGGGUAACGGCUCACCAAGGCGACGAUACAUAGCCGACCUGAGAGGGUGAUCGGCCACACUGGGACUGAGACACGGCCCAGACUCCUACGGGAGGCAGCAGUAGGGAAUCUUCGGCAAUGGACGGAAGUCUGACCGAGCAACGCCGCGUGAGUGAAGAAGGUUUUCGGAUCGUAAAGCUCUGUUGUAAGAGAAGAACGAGUGUGAGAGUGGAAAGUUCACACUGUGACGGUAUCUUACCAGAAAGGGACGGCUAACUACGUG